ensembl:snoRNA small nucleolar RNA, H/ACA box 3B
CCUGAGACUAGAGUCACAUCCCGACAGCUUUUGUCCUGGUGUGCUAGAGUACUCGGAUAGAACCUGCUGGUCUUGAUUCACUGGCGAGGGCAGUUGGUGCCUCCGUGAGUGCCCAGAUCAGAAACAUGC